rnacentral:lncRNA from 1 species
UUGGUCAUAAAAAUAUCAUAUUAUUAAAAUAUAACUAGAAAUGACUAUAUUUUAUAUUUUACAUUUAAAUUGUAGCACAAAAAUUAGUACCAAUGCAAUUUUAUAAAACAAUGACAAAAAGGAAAAAUAUUUGAUACAUUAUUAGUGAUGUUUUUAGAUUUUACAAGCAGAAUUAGGAGAAGACAAGUGUUCUAUAUAGAUCUAGUAAAAUUUAAAGGAAAAAAAAAGAG